AAGGAACAACAAGGGCGUAUGGUGGAUGCCUUGGCUUUGAAAGGCGAUGAAGGACGCGGCGUGGCGGCGAUAUGCUUCGGGGAGGUGCCAAGCAACCUUUGAUCCGGAGAUCUCCCAAUGAGGAAACUCAAUAGAAAGAAAUUUCUGUUAUCUCACAGCAAUGUGAGAGGUAAACCUCGGGAAGUGAAACAUCUCAGUACCGAGAGGAAAAGAUACCAACAGGUAUUUCGUGAGUAGCGGCGAGCGAAAACGAAUAAGCCCAAACCGUUGAGUUUCUCAGACCACUCCAAGCGAUUGAAGUGGUACGAGAAAUUCGCGGGGUUAUAAGGCGAUUAGGCCUUUAGUGGCAAGAAGUUACAAAUUGUUAGGUAGCCGAGCGCGCUGGGAAGCGCGGCCCCAGAGGGUGAAAGCCCCGUAGGCGAAACCGAAACAACUUCUUAAUUGUCCUUGAGUAGCUCGAAACACGACAGGUUCGAGUGAAUGUGCCGGAACUAACCGGUAAGGCUACAUACUUUCAAAGACCGAUAGUGAACUAGUACCGUGAGGGAAUGGUGAAAAGCACCCCGGGAGGGGAGUGAAAUAGAUCUGAAACCAUAUGUCUACAAAGAGUGGGAGCGGUGAGUUUAUUCGAACCGCGACCGCGUGCCUAUUGAAGAAUGAGCCUGCGAGUUUAUGUAUGCUGCGUAUGGCUAAGGGGUAAAACCUCGAAGCCGCAGGGAAACCGAGUGUGAAUAGCGCGAAUUCCCCGCCUUUGGCGGGGGGAAGUAGCAUGCAUAAGACCCGAAGCAAGGUGAGCUACCCAUGAGCAGGGUGAAAUGUGCCGAAAGGCACAUGGAGGCCCGAACCGUUGAGCCGUUCAAAACUCUCGGAUGACUUGUGGGUUGGAGUGAAAAGCUAAUCGAACCUUGUAAUAGCUGGUUCUCUCUGAAACAACUUUUGGGUUGGCGUCGUAUUUAUUGGCAAGUGGGGGUAGAGCACUGGAAGGGUUAGACAGGGCGCAAGCUCACUAACCCUAUCAAACUCCGAAUACCAUUUGCGUUAUACGGCAGUUAGUACGUGGGGGCUAAGCUCCACCGUACGAAAGGAGAAGAGUCCUAGAUCUCCAGUUAAGGUCCCAAAAUCUACGUUAAGUGCAUCACAAGGAGGUGAAAUUUCUUAGACAAUGAGGAUGUUGGCUUAGAAGCAGCCAUCAUUAAAAGAAAGCGUAACAGCUCACUCAUCGAGAGAUUUUGCGCCGAAGAUAAUCGGGGCUAAAACGUAGUACCGAAACUGAGGAUUCGCGCUCAUGGCUUGCCAUGAACGCGAGUGGUAAGAGAGCAUUCCAUUUGCAAUGAAGCUGAAGGCGCGAGCCACAGUGGAGCGUAUGGAAGAGAGAAUGCAGGCACAAGUAACCGCAAUGCGGGUGAGAGCCCCGCACGCCGAAAGAUCAAGGUUUCCUUGGCGAUGGUGAUCAGCCAAGGGUUAGUCGGGCCUAAGCCGAUGGCGAAAGCCGCAGGUGAUGGACAUGGGGUUAAUAUUCCCCAACCGGCAUAGGUGCGAUGGAGUUACGCGAGACACAAGGAGUGGCGUCUUAUUGGAUUGACGUCUGCGCUUUGAGAUGGGUACACCAGGAAAAUCCGGUGUACUGCUUUUAAUAGCACUAUCGUUGGGCGCGGGGGUAUGCUCUCUCCUCGGAGAGAGAGGACCGCUGCGAAGAGCUCGCCAAGAAAAACUUCUAAGCUUCAUCCUAUGUACGACCGUACCGCAAACCGACACAGGUGAUCAGGUCGAGUAGACCAAGGCGAACGAGUGAGUGUGCUCCAAGGAACUCGGCAAAAAAUCGGCCGUACCUUCGGAAUAAGGCCUGCCUCUAGCAAUAGAGGCCGCAGCGAAAGUCUCCCUGGCGACUGUUUACCAAAAACACAGCUCCCUGCGAACUCGUAAGAGGAUGUAUAGGGGGUGACACUUGACCAAUGCCAGAAGGUCAACCACGAACGUUGGUAUGUAGCAAUAUGUACUGGUGAUUUGUGUAAGCCCUGGUGAAUGUCGGCGAUAACUAUAAUCGUCCUAAGGUAGCGAAAUUCCUUGUCUGGUAAGUUCAGACGCGCACGAAUAGUGUAACGACUGGGGAACUGUCUCGGAGCACAGCUCGGUGAAAAUACAGUACCGGUGAAGAUGCCGGUUACCUGCAGUUAGACGAAAAGACCCCAGAAGCUUUACUACAGCUUGAUAUUGCGUAUACGGUUGUGCUGCGUAGCAUAGGUGGGAGAGGUUUGACGGUCCCGUUUUUGGAUGGGAUCUACUCGUCAGUGAAAUACCACUCUGUUCGAUUGUAUACGCUAACCGGUGCCGCAAAACGGCAUCGAAACAGUAUCUGGUGGGUAGUUUUAGUGGGGCGCUAUCCUCCUAAAAAGUAACGGAGGAGUGCAUUACGGUACCCUAGGCGCGAAUGGAAACCGUGCCGAUAGCGUAAUGGCAAAAGGGUGCUUGACUGCGAGGCGUGAAUGCCAAGCAGGUGCGAAAGCAGGCCAUAGUGAACCGACCAUCCGUAUUAGACGCGGUGGAAGAUUAUCUGAUAAAAGCUACUCUGGGGAUAACAGGCUAGUUCCGCCUAAGCGUCCAUAGCGACGGCGGAGUUCGGCACCUCGAUGUCGGCUCAUCAUAUCCCGGGGGUGGAGAAGCUCCCAAGGGUUUGGCUGUUCGCCAAUUAAAAUGAUACGCGAGCUGGGUUCAGACCGUUCAGCAUCUCAAAAUAUCAAGGCCUUGCCUUGAUGAAAGUUGGGAAUUUGAACGAUCUGAACCCCACGAGGAUUCUGUUUAAAAGUUUUCGUCUAAGAACUAUGUCGAAAGACAUAUAUAGAAUAGAUAAGAAACAACCAAUCACGGCGGUCCCGAUGUUAUAUCGGGAAGAAGCUAACUUAUAUCGGUGAAGCCCCUAUGGGGUAAUACCGAGGGAAGUUUGUGAAUUUCAUUGAGGAAGUAAAGAUAGAGGAGGAUAUGGAAUGAAAAGCUAUACGAUGCGUUUCUCGGCCUUGUGUCAACCAGAUCCAUAUGGUCCGCGAGAAUCCGAAAGUGGAGAAUAUCCAAUUUCGGCGCAGGACGACAAUGAUGCGACACGACAGGCGCAGGAAGCCUGGAAGAGGGUACAAGAGUGUACCACCAGAUCGAACUGCUCCUUUCACUCACUUGAAGAAGUGAGAAAGCUUGACUGGCACCCCCAGUAAAAGCAAGGGGAACCUCGGUUCCCCCCUCAAUGAAGUUCAUAAAUACCCGUAGAGACUGAACGUUAGCAGUUCUCUCAAUGUGAGAGGAUGAAGUUACAGUCCAAUGCACGGAGUAAUUCGUGAGAACAUGCGUGAGACAGGUUGGUCUCCUAUCUACUGCAGGCGUCGAUUAUUGAAGAGAUUUGCUCCUAGUACGAGAGGACCGGAGUGAACUGACCGCUGGUCUACCAGCUCUGCCGCCAGGUGGAUUGCUGGGUAGCUAUGUCGGGAUUGGAUAAGCGCUGAAAGCAUCUAAGCGCGAAGCCGACUCUAAGAUGAGUAAUCAUUACGAUCCGUGGGAGAUGACCACGUUGAUAGGCUCUAGGUGUACGUGCCGUAAGGCAUUAAGCCGAGGAGUACUAAUCGAUCAAGUUC
rnacentral:rRNA from 1 species